GAAAUGCGAUAAGUAGUGUGAAUUGCGGAAUUCAGUGAAUCAUCGAUUCUUUGAACGCACAUUGCGCCCCUUGGUAUUCCAUGGGGCAUGCCUGUUCGAGCGUCAUUUGUACCCUCAAGCUCUGCUUGGUGUUGGGUGUUUGUCCCGUCUCCGCGCGUGGACUCGCCCCAAAGUGAUUGGCAGCCGGCGUACUGGUCCCGGAGCGCAGCACAUGUCGCGCAAACGAGUGCCUUGGUACGGCGGCGUCCAUAAGCCCCUCUCUCACGCUCUUGACCUCGGAUCAGGUAGGGAUACCCGCUGAACUUAAGC
rnacentral:misc_RNA from 1 species